rnacentral:rRNA from 1 species
GAUGAACGCUGGCGGCGUGCCUAAUACAUGCAAGUCGAGCGAACAGACGAGGAGCUUGCUCCUCUGACGUUAGCGGCGGACGGGUGAGUAACACGUGGAUAACCUACCUAUAAGACUGGGAUAACUUCGGGAAACCGGAGCUAAUACCGGAUAAUAUAUUGAACCGCAUGGUUCAAUAGUGAAAGACGGUUUUGCUGUCACUUAUAGAUGGAUCCGCGCCGCAUUAGCUAGUUGGUAAGGUAACGGCUUACCAAGGCGACGAUGCGUAGCCGACCUGAGAGGGUGAUCGGCCACACUGGAACUGAGACACGGUACAGACUCCUACGGGAGGCAGCAGUAGGGAAUCUUCCGCAAUGGGCGAAAGCCUGACGGAGUAACGCCGCGUGAGUGAUGAAGGUCUUCGGAUCGUAAAACUCUGUUAUUAGGGAAGAACAAAUGUGUAAGUAACUAUGCACGUCUUGACGGUACCUAAUCAGAAAGCCACGGCUAACUACGUG